rnacentral:tRNA from 1 species
GGUCUCGUAGCUCAGUUGGCUAGAGCGUUGGCUGUACUAAAAUCUUUCCCUUGCUGGCGUGGGUUCGAAUCCCACCGAGGCCA